CCGUGCUAGAUGGGAAAUUAGCAAUUUCUUGUAACCUGCUGCUUUGCAGGGUCGAUGCUCAGUGGAGGGUAACGCCAUUAUCUCUAAGCGUUUGAUGUUGAUCAUUGGGUCUUGCGCAAUAGAAACUUAUGAACCUCGUCAGGUCCGGAAGGAAGCAGCGAUAAGUGAGUAUUUCUAUGUGCCGCAAGGGUGCCUGAGAGGAGUCGGCGACAUUGAUAGUGAAUUGUUUAUUCGAAGCUGAGUGCACGG
rnacentral:SRP_RNA from 1 species